rnacentral:rRNA from 1 species
CAGUCGCCGCGGUAAUACCGAGGGUGCGAGCGUUAAUCGGAUUUACUGGGCGUAAAGCGUGCGUAGGCGGCUUUUUAAGUCGGAUGUGAAAUCCCUGAGCUUAACUUAGGAAUUGCAUUCGAUACUGGGAAGCUAGAGUAUGGGAGAGGAUGGUAGAAUUCCAGGUGUAGCGGUGAAAUGCGUAGAGAUCUGGAGGAAUACCGAUGGCGAAGGCAGCCAUCUGGCCUAAUACUGACGCUGAGGUACGAAAGCAUGGGGAGCAAACAGGAUUAGAUACCCCUGUAGUCCCUGUCUCUUAUAA